GCAGCGCGUAACCAUGCUCCGUUCUCGUCCUAGACACCAUACAGGACAGAAGCAGUGGCAGGGCCUUGAGAGAUGCUCUGAGAAGAUGCAGGGAGCUGUUGGAGCACUACAGCGUCAAAUGCUUCUACUGCUGUCCCUUCAAAAUCAUCCAGGUCUUUGAAGUUUUCCUUGAUUCUCAAGAGCUCAGCCAGUUCAUAAUGACUAUUUUGGACAGCCUGAGAAGCCUGCCACAUCCCUGUAUCCAGCAGACAGCAGGAGAGUUGCUGAUAACUUUGGUGAAAAGUGCAGAGGCCCGAUUUGAGAAGGGCUGGAUCUAAACUGAGUUAUUCACGGCUGAAAAGAAACUGACUUUACCUCAACAAUGUCACUGUCCUCAUCCUGAGAGAAGAGAAGCAGGGGAACCAGGCUUUCCAGGACUUGGGUUUCCACACUCUUCUUUUCCGUGCUCUUCACAGACUUGAUGGAGGCUCCAAAAAGAGUCACGGAGUUAUGGUGAAUAUCCCGUCUCACCUGAGAUGGAGUGGUCAUACGGAAACAGCUCACUGA